AGGCAGUUGUCUUUGACGUGACACCCCUCAAUGGCCGGGCUGAAUUGUCUGGCAGGGUGAGUGUCCCCUUCCUCCUUCACUCUCCCACGUGUGCUUCUUCCAAAGCCACACUUUAGUUGAAGACAAUGAUGUUCCUAACAGGGAGAACUGUUUGUUCCUAAGCCGAGGGUGUGUGAAUGUCUUCACUGCCCUUCUAGAACUUUCAGAGAUUUCUUGGUAAACCUCCAAGAACUCUAGGAGAGCUGUGGCAAGUAGGCAGGGUCACAGAGUGAGUCCACCAUGCCCCUAGGGUCAUAAGCUGCCUCUCCCU
rfam:Rattus norvegicus chromosome 18, whole genome shotgun sequence.